rnacentral:rRNA from 1 species
GAUGAACGCUGGCGGCGUGCCUAAUACAUGCAAGUCGAGCGAACAGACGAUGCGCUUGCUCCUCUGACGUUAGCGGCGGACGGGUGAGUAACACGUGGAUAACCUUCCUCUAAGACUGGGAUAACUUCGGGAAACCGGAGCUACUACCGGAUAAUAUAUUUAACCGCAUGGUUCAAUAGUGAUAGCCGGUUUUGCUGUCACUUCUAGAUGGAUCCGCGCCGCAUUAGCUAGUUGGUAAGGUAACGGCUUACCAAGGCGACGAUGCGUAGCCGACCUGAGAGGGUGAUCGGCCACACUGGAACUGAGACACGGUCCAGACUCCUACGGGAGGCAGCAGUAGGGAAUCUUCGGCAAUGGGCGAAAGCCUGACGGAGCAACGCCGCGUGGGUGAUGAAGGUCUUCGGAUCGUAAAACUCUGUUAGUAGGGAAGAACAAAUGUGUAAGUAACUAUGCACGUCUUGACGGUACCUAAACAGAAAGCCACGGCUAACUACGUG